CAAAAGACAAAUUUUGGGUUUCUGUGUUCAACAUUUGACUGUCUGUCUUAUAUAUAAUUUUUUUUAUAAUUAGUAUUUUCAUUGUUGUUAGAUGAUAAAACAUGAUUAAUACUUUAUGCGUGAAUUUGUCUUUUUAAUUUUUUUAUAUAUAUUUUUAAAUAAGACGGAUGGUCAAACGUUGGACACGGAAACCUAGGGUUUGUCUUUUU
rfam:Oryza barthii chromosome 10, whole genome shotgun sequence.